rnacentral:rRNA from 1 species
CCUACGGGGGGCAGCAGUGGGGAAUAUUGGACAAUGGGCGAAAGCCUGAUCCAGCCAUGCCGCGUGUGUGAAGAAGGCCUUCGGGUUGUAAAGCACUUUCAGUGGGGAAGAAAGCCUUGGGGCUAAUACCCUCGAGGAAGGACAUCACCCACAGAAGAAGCACCGGCUAACUCCGUGCCAGCAGCCGCGGUAAUACGGAGGGUGCGAGCGUUAAUCGGAAUUACUGGGCGUAAAGCGCGCGUAGGCGGUCUGAUAAGCCGGUUGUGAAAGCCCCGGGCUCAACCUGGGAACGGCGUCCGGAACUGUCAGGCUAGAGUGCAGGAGAGGAAGGUAGAAUUCCCGGUGUAGCGGUGAAAUGCGUAGAGAUCGGGAGGAAUACCAGUGGCGAAGGCGGCCUUCUGGACUGACACUGACGCUGAGGUGCGAAAGCGUGGGUAGCAAACAGGAUUAGAUACCCCAGUAGUC